rnacentral:sRNA from 1 species
UAUAUUCGCUGAAUUCUCAUUUUUUGAGAAACGGGGGAACCAUUAACGUGCAAAAGGGCACUCGGGGUGAAUCCUUUUAAUAAAAAAGGUAGGAAAAUACUCUUCAUCCGAAUCCGACAGCUAACCUCGUAAGCAUUCCGGAGAGA